UUGGGAAUAUGGUUGAUGAAUCUAACUUCUUGGACUACCUUUGUAGUCACAUAACUCUAAUUUGAUUUUUGUUUAUUGCAGACUUCUUUUGGCUCCUCCUCUCAUCCAAAAUUUUGGUUGGGAAUCCGUGUUCUACAUUUUUGGCUUUCUGGGGAUAGCCUGGUUUGCAGGAUUCCAGUUUCUGGAUGGACAGCCAUCAGUACCCCUUAAAUCCUUUCCAGAUGAAUCCGAAUCCGAGUCCGGGUACCCGAACAAGAAAGUAACAACACCCAUCAAACUUCAACAACUUCCCGCUGCACUCAAGGUAUCUACGUGUUUUUUAUCAACU